AAGAAAUUUAAGAACUACUUAAACUUCUCCCACCCUUUAAUUUCGGAUAGUUUUGACCCCAACGAGUGUGCUUGGGCAUAUGGCAUGAAUAUCUUCGACCUUGAUGCAUGGAGAAAGACAAACAUUAGUCAUACUUACCAUCACUGGCUUCAAAAGGUAUGCUUAAAGCUUCUAAAACUUAAUUAGAGCUUAUAAUUUAGCAGUUUCUUCAUCAUUUUUUGCCCUUAGUUGCACCUGAAUUUCUAAUUGAUUUCUCUUUCACUCUUUUUAGAACUUGAAAUCAGACUUAAGUUUAUGGCAGUUGGGGACUCUACCGCCUGGUUUAAUAGCAUUCCAUGGCCAUGUUCAUAUUAUUGAUCCCUAUUGGCACAUGUUGGGGCUUGGAUACCAAGAAAACACCACCAUAGCAGAUGC
rnacentral:lncRNA from 1 species